rnacentral:rRNA from 1 species
CCUACGGGUGGCUGCAGUGGGGAAUAUUGGACAAUGGGCGAAAGCCUGAUCCAGCCAUGCCGCGUGUGUGAAGAAGGCCUUCGGGUUGUAAAGCACUUUCAGUGGGGAAGAAAGCCUUGGGGCUAAUACCCUCGAGGAAGGACAUCACCCACAGAAGAAGCACCGGCUAACUCCGUGCCAGCAGCCGCGGUAAUACGGAGGGUGCGAGCGUUAAUCGGAAUUACUGGGCGUAAAGCGCGCGUAGGCGGUCUGAUAAGCCGGUUGUGAAAGCCCCGGGCUCAACCUGGGAACGGCAUCCGGAACUGUCAGGCUAGAGUGCAGGAGAGGAAGGUAGAAUUCCCGGUGUAGCGGUGAAAUGCGUAGAGAUCGGGAGGAAUACCAGUGGCCAAGGCGGCCUUCUGGACUGACACUGACGCUGAGGUGCGAAAGCGUGGGUAGCAAACAGGAUUAGAUACCCGAGUAGUC